UGGACUAUUGUGAAUUCUUGCACGAUAAUAUUCAACAUAGACGGUACUCAUGUGACAAUUUUAUUUCAAACUAUGGUAUGCGCAAAUUUGAAUAUCACAGUUUUUAACGGCAGAAAUGGAAAUGAUCAAUUGAUUGACGAUUCCACGAAUAUCUCAUCAAACGGAACAAGUGUGAUAGACUAUGUUAUCGGAUAGAGUGACUUCUUUACAUUGUGCAGUGGAUUCGAUAUCGGAUGUAGGUCAGAGUCUCUACAUCUGCCAAUCACUUGUGCAUUUCAGUCGCGUGGUGAUAUUGACAACCACAAGGAAGCACGUGAUUCACACUCUGGACAGAACUUUAGGUUUAAGUUGACUGAUGAUUGUGUAAACAAAUUCCAUGUUAAUUUGCUUUCACCCGAUGUAAGAAAGACCCUAUAUGAUUGUGCUUGCCAAGCUAUCUAUGAUGUAAAUCAAUCAGUUAAAUCGUUUACUAAUGCCUUACUGAUGAAAGGAAAAGGACAGUUCUGGAACAGGUGCCGAAGGAGCCCGUCUUUUAAUUGGUCAAUGAGAGUCACUUGACCACAAUAGGCGUCUUAUAUUGCAUGUUGUGGUGCAAUACCGAAUCUAUAUUUAGCCAGGGAAAGACCCGAGCUAUAAAUAGGUCAGCGUCUCGCUGUGUGACUCGCCCUUGUGAUAUAAGCCAAUACAUAGUUUACGUUUUGUAACCAGAACUGGCUAGCCGUGACCGGAUAUAGCCGCAUGUUUUUUUUGUCUUUAUAUAAGAGGUUAUUCCCCCCCCCAUACUCAUAUGUCAUUUCACUCUUGUGAGCGAAUCUAGACUGACGGUCCUGUCGUGUCUACACUCAAUCUUACGACGCUGUUCACAAGACAGGGAACUUUCUUAAAAAAUGGAGGAGAGGCAACGUUUUCUAGACUCUGUACAGUCCCUGCAUGAACUUGAGACAUGGGCAACGGCCAAUAGCUGUUCAAAUGACCCGGCUGUGAACUUAAAACGUAUCAAUCUAUUAGCAAACAGGUUAUCCAACAACUGCAAGAAUACAUCCUCAUCACUGACUCAUACAUGUGACAACUGUAACAAAUCUUUUACAAGCAAAAGGAAUCUUCUUCGACAUACACGAACCGUACAUGGAAAUGAGAAAAUAUCAUGUGCGCAGUGUGGACACUCGUUUUCUCGCGGCAUACUGUAAAACAUGGAGUAGAGUCUUGGAGUGGAGUCUUGGAAUGGAGUUUAAAUGUAAAUAUUUUGAA